AAGCUGUCUUGAUAUCUACAAUACAUUGGACACUACAUGCAGGAUUAUGAAUGGAUACCUGAACACUGCUUGAAGGAGCAAGCUCUACAGCAUCACUUAUGCUCCUUUCCAUGGGUUGGCAAGAGGAACCGUGGCACGCAACUCUACAGGCACCUGUGCUCUUCACUACCUUCGGAGGAGAGAUGCAUUGAAUGCUCCCCAUCAUGCACUGCCAUCUCAACAGUACCAUGGCUUUUUGUGUGGAUUCCUUCCCUUUUGAAGGCCACCACUGUUUGCACAGCAUCACAGCCUGCCUGCCUUGAUCUUGCGGAAGAAGAAAAUACAAAAUGCCUAUUUUUUGAAAUGCAUGCAUGGCUUCAUGCAACACCACCUGUCGUCGGGGUGUUAAGGCUUUUUGCAGAGAAAAUGUAAUGACGCCUUAUGUGUGCCCUGGUGGCAAAGUGUUUGCCUCUUUGCCUGUGUAAAAAUUUCACACUUAUGGAUACUGUUAAAGGUUCCUGUAUCAUAUUUUCUUUCACAUCCUAAGAAAUUUUUGUUUCAUUAUAAAACUAAAAAUUAUAGUUGAAUUGCUGCUUUGUGUGAUAUGCAAUAUUCAGCUGAAGGUGAUCAGCAGAGGUCGAACAAGUGUUAUGUCAGGUGGAGAAAUUUUUUUGAGAAGUGGACUUCUUCGUUAGGGUAACAACCGUUUUCCUUGGCAGUAUUUAUAUAGUUCACGUUUCUCCACUCCAUGGAUAUCCAGCAAAAUGAGUGAGUGCAUAGAGAAGGUGAGGUAAGUUUAAAUGCUCACCAUGGGGGUUUAGUUGGGGUAGCAAGGUGUGUAGAAGUAUGGGAGUUUGGCAGGUUGCUGGCACCAAUUUCUAUGAGUGAUCUUGUUGUUUGUGUCUAUGUCAGUUAUAUAAUGCGAGGCGUCUUCUGACGCCAGAAAUUUUGAAAAAAAAAAACUUAUAUUUGUGGAAAUUCAGUAUGUGCCCCUGGGGCUACUACGAGCACUUGGGGCCACUGGGUAGAUGCAGCUCUCCAAUGAACUUUUUUGACACAAACUUGUGUAUGUACACUGGGUGUGUGCCACUGCACAUGUGCCACUCUUUAAUGAACCUCUUUGAUGCUGACUUAGGUCAUGGGGCAUCACAACACAAACCUAUGUAGCGACAUCUGUGUAUGCAAGUGUGAGCUGGAAUUGUCUGCUUGGAUUUUCUUUCCCUGAUGACUAGUCCCCUUGUUGAAUUAACUUCAGCCUGAGAUAUCACCUGUUUGUCUACUGUUAUCACAUUAUGCCCAUUUUGCUGUGAACUUGUCAUGUUUUCUAGCUGGCAAGCUUGAAUUUCAGGUGCUGCACGCUAAGGAAAUUGAUUCAGAGUGGGUGGUACCACUUCUGCUUUUUCUUCGCAGCUGUGUGUUACAUGAGAGAAUAAGUUGUACGUAGAUGUCUAUUAGAAAUAGCAUAGGUAUUCAAAGGUACUUUCAUUAUGUUCUAGGUCAUUGGUGCUGUCUGGCCUCCUUUGCAUCAUUUUUUGUAGCAUGCUUUUUACAUGCAAAAACAAAUGUGGCCUGUUCUAAUGCAUGCAAGGACUGCCCAAUAGCUCAUGAUGUUUUGAGCCGCUGAAUUUCAGUCUUGGCUGCACUUGUGGAUUUUCAACUGUACUGAAGCUUGCAAUAUGCUUGAAUUUCCUGUCAAACUGGUUUGCUUGUUUGUAUCCAAUUUAUUGAAUUAUUUCACUUUCAUUAUGCUAAUAGUCAUUGAUUGUACUAUCAUGCUGGCACAUUUGAUUCUGGAACUGCAAUAAAUUUCCAGACAUUUUA